UCAUAUUUCAUUUCGUUUCCAUUUUCUGACUUCCCUUACAGUUGGAGGUGGCCGAGUCCUUUCUGGUAGAGGUUGAGAUGAGUGAUGUGUGGCAUUUCCAGACCAAAGCUGUGCCCUCCUUCCAUGGCAGAGGCUGAGGAAUGGCAGAGUGCACCAUGCCGGAGCUCCCAUCCUUCCACCCCCAUGUGGACGGCUUCACACUGGCGUGAAUCCCUGUGCCUCCACGCGCUGCAGACCCACCCAGCAAGUCUCAUGAGCAAGAGGAAGCUGUCAGCCCCAGAAGCCACCUCCUCCCGGCUGAGUUCUCUCUUUGGUCAAGUUUCGGGGAGCCCAGCAGUCAAAUAA
rnacentral:lncRNA from 1 species